rnacentral:misc_RNA from 1 species
UACAACACAAAACCAAAACGCAGCAAAAUAAUAAUUAAAAAAAUGACAGUGUCAAGACCUAUAUUCCUUCUUUCUUUGUUUUCUCUGCUCUCCGUUUCAUGGGAGGCAGCAUCAGCUUCAGGUUCAGGUUCAGCUCAUGGUGGAAGGGAAACCUUUCUGCAGUGUCUUUUGGACCAUUCUCAUCCUUCGCAUCCAAUCUCCACAGCAAUUUACACUCCAAACAAUGCUUCAUACUCCUCUGUGUUACAAUCUUAUAUUCGAAAUCUUCGAUUCAACAUGUCCACGACCCCAAAACCACUCCUUAUCCUCACUGCAUUGCAUGAAUCUCAUUUCCAAGCUGCCAUUGUUUGUGCUCGAAUGCAUGGCUUGCAAAUGAAAAUCAGAAGCGGAGGUCAUGACUACGAGGGUAUUUCUUACUUCUCAGAAGUCCCCUUCUUUAUUCUUGACAUGUUUAAUCUCCUUAAAAUAAAUGUUGACAAGCAGACUGAGACAGCUUGUGUUCAGGCUGAGAAAAGUAAAGUUCAUGGUUUUCCAGCUGGUGUUUGCCCUAAAGUUUGGUGUUGGAGGUCAUUUCAGUGGUGGUGGAUAUGGAAACAUGAUGAGAAAGUACGGACUUUCAGUCGAUAACAUUAUUGAUGCUCAAUUGGUGGAUGUCAAAUGGCAGACUUCUUGACAAGAAAUCUAUGGGAGAAGAUCUUUUCUGGGCUAUAACAGGUGGUGGAGGAGCUAGCUUUGGUGUAGUUCUGGCAUAUAAAAUAAAAAUUGUUCGAGUUCCAGAAUUAGUAACCGUUUUCCUGGUUCGAAGAACACUGGAACAGAAUGCAACAGGUAUUGUGUGUCGAUGGCACAAGCUGGACGAAGAUCUCUCCAUCAGACUUGUCCUAGAUGUCGUUAACGGAAGUCAAAGUGAUGGAAAGACGAUAAGGGCUACAUUUCGAGCCCCGUUUCUUGGAGAUUCUGCAAGACUUCUUUCAGUGAUGAAAUCGAGCUUUCCUGAACUUGGUUUGGUUCAAUAUGAUUGUAUCGAAAUGACUUGGCUAGAAUCAGUCCUGUACUGGACAGAGUUCCCAAUCGGUAUACCAACUAAGGCUUUGCUGAGUCGAACACCUCAAGUACUAACCCAUUCGAGAAAAUAAGAUUAUGUAAAAAAAACCAAUUCCGAAAGCUGGAUUGGAGGGAAUUUGGAAGAAAAUGAUGGAGUUGCAGGUGCCAGCCCUGACGCUUAACCCUUAUGGUGAGAAAAUGGGCCAAGUUCCUGCAACAGCUACUCCAUUUCCUCAUCGAGCUGGGAAUUUAUGGAAGACUCAGUAUGCGACAAACUGGAAUCAAGAUGGAAAAGAGCAAGCAAAUCACCACAUAGAAUUGACGAGGAAGCUCUACAAUUAUAUGACUCCAUUUGUAUCCAAGAAUCCAAGGAAGGCAUUCCUUAACUACAGAGAUCUUGAUUUGGGUAUCAACCAUAAUGGGAAGGAAAGCUACUGAGAGGGGAAAGUUUUUGGGAUCAAGUACUUCAAAGGUAAUUUUAAAAUGUUGUCCCAAAUAAAGUGACCAAGAAAAGGUGAAUUAGAUACUUUAAGCAAUUUUUUAGUCCUUGCUUAAGGCUUAGUGAAAAAUUAAGGCUAAGCAUUUAUAAAUUUGUUUAUAACUCUGUUUUCAAAGUGAAAUCUAAGUGACCCAACAAGUUGUGCACAAACAGCAGUUGAAUCACAAGAUGAUAACUUAACAUCAAAUAUUUCUUUUCACAUAUAGUUCAAAAUAUGUAGGUCUGAUUGUUCAAACUCAAUAUUAACUUCAAUAAAAUAAAUUCUCAACAUAUUCAAUAUAUAACGGAGUAAUAAAGUGCUGGAAAUUAAAGAUUUAAGGGAA